GACGUAGGGGGCCAGCGUUGUUCGGAAUUACUGGGUGUAAAGGGUUCGUAGGCGGUGUGGCAAGUUGGGAGUGAAAUCUCUGGGCUCAACCCAGAGGCUGCUUCCAAAACUGCUGUGCUUGAGUGUGAGAGCGGCUCGUGGAAUUGCAGGUGUAGCGGUGAAAUGCGUAGAUAUCUGCAGGAACACCCGUGGCGAAAGCGGCGAGCUGGAUCACUACUGACGCUGAGGAACGAAAGCUAGGGGAGCAAACAGG
rnacentral:rRNA from 1 species